rnacentral:rRNA from 1 species
UACGACUACAUAUCAGGCAUAUCAAUAAGCGGAGGAAAAGAAACUAACAAGGAUUCCCUUAGUAACGGCGAGUGAAGCGGGAAGAGCUCAAAUUUGAAAUCUUAAAGGGUUUCCCUUUACGAAUUGUAGUUUAAAGAAGUGUUUUCUGUUGGAGUUUCGGUAAAAGUUCUUUGGAAUAGGACAUCAUAGAGGGUGAGAAUCCCGUAUUUGACCGUUACUUUCCAGCUGUGUGAUACACUUUCAAAGAGUCGGAUUGUUUGGGAAUGCAGUCCAAGAUGGGUGGUAAAUUUCAUCUAAAGCUAAAUAUUGGCGAGAGACCGAUAGCGAACAAGUACCGUGAGGGAAAGAUGAAAAGAACUUUGAAAAGAGAGUUAAACAGUACGUGAAAUUGUCAAAAGGGAAGCGUUUGACACCAGUGUUGUUUUCUCGAAAAUCAAUUAAAAAGAGUUGGAUUUUGUGUUGUAUUGACCUUAACAGCUUGCUUCACUCUUUUCCAGCUUUUUUUAAUGCACUUUUCGUUUAACAAGUCAACAUCAGUUUCUUUUGCUGUAAAAGGGUAAUAGGAAGGUGGCUUCUCUUCGGUUAGAAAGUGUUUAUAGCCUUCUAUCUCUGCAAUCGGAGAGAUUGAGGUCUGCAGCGUAGACUCUUCGGGGUUAGAUACAUUCUGUGCUAAGCUAUAGCUUUUCAUAGACAACUUGUUGACUAUGUUUAGUCUUGUGACUUACCCGCUUAUGCUAUUUUACCUACGCUUAGGAUGUUGAGCGCAUGUCUCUCUCU